UGGGGAAUAUUGCACAAUGGGCGCAAGCCUGAUGCAGCCAUGCCGCGUGUGUGAAGAAGGCCUUCGGGUUGUAAAGCACUUUCAGCGGGGAGGAAGGCGUUAAGGUUAAUAACCUUGGCGAUUGACGUUACCCGCAGAAGAAGCACCGGCUAACUCCGUGCCAGCAGCCGCGGUAAUACGGAGGGUGCAAGCGUUAAUCGGAAUUACUGGGCGUAAAGCGCACGCAGGCGGUCUGUCAAGUCGGAUGUGAAAUCCCCGGGCUCAACCUGGGAACUGCAUUCGAAACUGGCAGGCUAGAGUCUUGUAGAGGGGGGUAGAAUUCCAGGUGUAGCGAUGAAAUGCGUAGAGAUCUGGAGGAAUACCGGUGGCGAAGGCGGCCCCCUUGACAAAGACUGACGCUCAGGUGCGAAAGCGUGGGGAGCAAACAGG
rnacentral:rRNA from 1 species